rfam:Anaerobacillus alkalilacustris strain DSM 18345 Ga0137925_130, whole genome shotgun sequence.
UAACCCUUUAAUUACAGUCCCGUGAGGCUGAGAAGGAACUUAGGAUACGUACAGAUAAUAAUCUGUUAAUUUACGUGUGCUUAAAAACCUCUCAUCUUCGGUGAGAGGUUUUUUUUGA